CCCCUUUCAGGAUCGCAUCUGGAGAGUUUCCAGUCCUCUACUGGUCUUGGCUACGGGAGGGAGAGUCAAGCAGAGGUCUGCCCAGUCCAUUCCUAGCUUGGGCAGUGGCUAGCAAGUGGAAGACCAUCUGCUACAAGU